GCACACAAAACAUAGAUGAGACAGUGUCAGUGUGUGUGUGUGUGUCUCUCCGUUGCAGUUGGUGCUCUGGGCUGCUUCUGUGUAACUAAUCCUGAUUUCUAACCCUCCUUGCCGAUCCUCCAACCUCACCUUGCAGAUUAGAUGUUCUCAUAUUUUCAACAGAGGCCAAAGCUGUUCUGGUGUAUUUCAAAUAGAAGAUAAGAUAUGUAUGAUCCUGGGAUGUAAGUACAGUCUUCAGUAUCACCAAGGUUGGAAGAGACCUCACAGAUCAUCAAGUCCAACCCUUUACCACAGAGCUCAAGGCUAGACCAUGGCACCAAGUGCCACGUCCAAUCCUGCCUUGAACAGCUCCAGGGACGGUGACUCCACCACCUCCCCGGGCAGCCCAUUCCAGUGUCCAGUGCACCUCAGAGUGCUGGGACAGAUGGUACCAGACCAUUUGAGAGAAGAAAACCAAACCAACAAAAUAAACAACCACAACAAAAAAAACUGCAACCAAGCCAAACCAAAAAAAAAAAAAAAAAAAAAAAAAAAAAAAAAAAAAAAAAAACCCAACCAACAAAAAAACUGAACAAAACCGAGACCAAAAGAAAACCUCGUGAGAGGUGAUAGCCUGGGAAACUGGAAACCAAAUUCCAAAAACAGCCAAAGGGAGAAUUUCUUUGUUCCUUUGGAGAGCUUUGGUGAGUGACUUCCUUCCACAGAAAGAAAUAAGAUAUGGAUUCUCAGUAGCUUUCUUCACCAGAUAUGGAGAAUGACCUAGUAGGACAAAAUUGGCUGAUACUUCUAGAAGCACUUUUAACCUGCUACCUGGCAUUGUGUUACGUCUCAAUACGGAGAUCUACACUAUAGAAGUACUAUAAGAGUUUUCGGCCAGGGAACCAUCCUAGCUACCAAGCGGACCUGAGGACAGAUCAUUUUAUUGGAACUUUGGAGAAUAUAAUGUGAAAAUAGCUGUUGCACCCCACUGGGAAUUGGUAUGGCUUCUCUAUUCUGUGCUUUUCUACUCAUAAGAUCUGUCUUGGA